UGCAAAUUCGCUAAAUAACCAGAAACCACUUCAACCACCUGACCCAGGGCAAAAACGAAAAACCGUGCCCCGAGACUGAGAGAUGAGAAAAAGUCUGGACUUGAGAUGGAAACUGCGAACAAUCACAGCCGAGAAGACCUGACAAUGGCUUGACAAUGAGUGGAGGUAACGCAGCACACCCUGGGGCGAGCAGACGUGUAAUGUUAAGGCACUAACUACAGACUGAAUGGACACACAGCAGAGCAAGACGUUCAUGUGUGAAAUGAGAUCUGUGCACAAUCAGUGGGAGUCGCAGCCAUAAAAGUGCAUCAAGCUCCUCUGCUUUAAGAUGAACCCAUUCAUGGACAACCAAACAUGAAAUGUGUCAGCAACAGACAUUUCCAACCCUUCUGCUUCUUCUUGUACACACAAAAAGUCGAAACAUUUCCAAUAAGUUCAACUCGACAAGACAGACAAUCCUGGCUCAGUGAUGUCUCAUUUUUACAACUGAGGAUUAUCAUCUGCUCCGUAUAUCAGCAGAACCACGGACUCAUUAUUUUUUUAUGAUUUGUCAUUUGCAAUAGAAAUUCAACAAAUCUCCCCAAGGCCCCUCAGUGUGUGUAUCUCAUUCCAAUAUUUUGCAAGCAUAAAUCCUGAAUCAUAAUAGGAUAUAUAAUGUGAAUAUGAGCUCUAUUAUUCCUUCUAACCCUGACAGGUAACUAUAGGCUGAAAUAUGUUUGUAUGCAAACACAGAGAGACAGCGGGUUGUGAUGGGAGAUGUGGGAUUUCAGCAGUUCUCCUUCACUCUGAUGGAUGGAUGCUUCACUGCUACACAGAUGGAAAGAGAUAGGAGGAGGCAUUGAGGACGCAGGGAGCAUCAGGAGAGUACAGGGCACAAGAAAGGGAUUGAUCAGUCAUAGAAAAAGAGAUAAAGGACUGCUCGGACAGUGGGGGGUUAGUCGUGAUGUGUGGUGAUCAAUUUAAAAUUCUCAAACAUGAAAGUUUACAAAUGUGGUGCCAGUAUGUGCGCAAAUGCAGCACGUCGAGAUCCACAAGAUCAGUUUCACUCAGUGGUGCAUUCUGGAGUGUGUCACCUAAAAAGUAUUAGCAAAAUAUAAGCACUAGCUGGGUUGUUGUAAUAACUUUGAGUUGCAGCUCAGGGAACUAUAAGACAAAAUAAGAAGACAAAGCUAAUCCCUUUUGUGUGGGUCACACCCAGAACAACUAUGGCUGACUAGUUCAACAAAGCUCUCACUGAGCAUGUCUGCAAACAUAUUACCACCUCUUCAUUCAGACAGGAGUGCAAUUAAAGCAGAAUAUUGUGGUCAUGGGAACACUUUAAUAAUCUCUAUAUCACACCUCGAGGAGUGAGUUUUGUAACAUCCACUAAUGAAAAAAAAUGUAUAUAUAUUUUCCUAUUCAGAAUUGUUGUGCAUUUUGCCAGCUGGAUCAGGAGUUGUCACUUGUGUUCUUGCAUGGAUCAUGUUCAGAGUUACUGAUUUAUGCAGCUGAUUUUGUCAUUUAAUUUGUGGAAUGGUUUGACAUUUGGCAAAAUAAACUUAUUUCCAAAAGGUCAAAUCAAUGCCGAAUUCAAAAAUAAAGCUGCAUCCAGGCAAGUUUCAACAGAAACUAUUUCAGUGUAUUGUGUUUGUUUAAUUCAAGGAUUAUCCCAGCCAGCAAUAAGUUAAUUUCAAAGGGUGCUAUGUGCACUUUUCCUUGGCCAGGGAUAAAAAGGAGUUUAAUUGGCAGGAGCUCGCUGGGUAAGGUAUUUUUUGUCACAUAACCUUUCAUUAAAUGAAAUUUUGUCAUUCACCACUUGGUUUUGCACAAAUCAACAAGAAAAUGUGUAUUAGUGAGCUUAGAAGAUGCUGUGAGGUCACAAAAGAAGGAUGGGCUAGCAUGUUCCUGACAUUCCCAUCCAAGUGCUUUUUACACUGCCAAAAAUAAUAAAAACGUUAUUUAAAAAAUAAUAAUAAA